rnacentral:rRNA from 1 species
GACGAACGCUGGCGGCGCGCCUAAUACGUGCAAGUAGAACGCUGAAGAGAGGAGCUUGCUCUUCUUGGAUGAGUUGCGAACGGGUGAGUAACGCGUAGGUAACCUGCCUGGUAGCGGGGGAUAACUAUUGGAAACGAUAGCUAUACCGCAUGAUAUUAAUUGUUGCAUGAUAAUUAAUUGAAAGAUGCAAUUGCAUCACUACCAGAUGGACCUGCGUUGUAUUAGCUAGUUGGUGAGGUAACGGCUCACCAAGGCGACGAUACAUAGCCGACCUGAGAGGGUGAUCGGCCACACUGGGACUGAGGCACGGCCCAGACUCCUACGGGAGGCAGCAGUAGGGAAUCUUCGGCAAUGGGGGGAACCCUGACCGAGCAACGCCGCGUGAGUGAAGAAGGUUUUCGGAUCGUAAAGCUCUGUUGUAAGAGAAGAACGAGUGUGAGAGUGGAAAGUUCACACUGUGACGGUAUCUUACCAGAAAGGGACGGCUAACUACGUGCCAGCAGCCGCGGUAAUACGUAGGUCCCGAGCGUUGUCCGGAUUUAUUGGGCGUAAAGCGAGCGCAGGCGGUUAGAUAAGUCUGAAGUUAAAGGCUGUGGCUUAACCAUAGUAUGCUUUGGAAACUGUUUAACUUGAGUGCAGAAGGGGAGAGUGGAAUUCCAUGUGUAGCGGUGAAAUGCGUAGAUAUAUGGAGGAACACCGGUGGCGAAAGCGGCUCUCUGGUCUGUAACUGACGCUGAGGCUCGAAAGCGUGGGGAGCAAACAGGAUUAGAUACCCUGGUAGUCCACGCCGUAAACGAUGAGUGCUAGGUGUUAGGCCCUUUCCGGGGCUUAGUGCCGCAGCUAACGCAUUAAGCACUCCGCCUGGGGAGUACGACCGCAAGGUUGAAACUCAAAGGAAUUGACGGGGGCCCGCACAAGCGGUGGAGCAUGUGGUUUAAUUCGAAGCAACGCGAAGAACCUUACCAGGUCUUGACAUCCCUCUGACCGCUCUAGAGAUAGAGUUUUCCCUCGGGACAGAGGUGACAGGUGGUGCAUGGUUGUCGUCAGCUCGUGUCGUGAGAUGUUGGGUUAAGUCCCGCAACGAGCGCAACCCCUAUUGUUAGUUGCCAUCAUUGAGUUGGGCACUCUAGCGAGACUGCCGGUAAUAAACCGGAGGAAGGUGGGGAUGACGUCAAAUCAUCAUGCCCCUUAUGACCUGGGCUACACACGUGCUACAAUGGCUGGUACAACGAGUCGCAAGCCGGUGACGGCAAGCUAAUCUCUGAAAGCCAGUCUCAGUUCGGAUUGUAGGCUGCAACUCGCCUACAUGAAGUCGGAAUCGCUAGUAAUCGCGGAUCAGCACGCCGCGGUGAAUACGUUCCCGGGCCU